GGAUACGGCCAUACUGCGGAGAGAGCACCGCUUCCCGUCCGAUCAGCGAAGUUAAGCUCCGCCAGGCGAUGUUAGUACUGGGGUGGGUGACCACCCGGGAAUCCAUCGUGCUGUAUCCUCCU
rnacentral:rRNA from 1 species